GAACAAAGUGAAAAUAAUUUCGUAGAUACUAGACGCCUUAUCCAUUGUAAUCGAUGCUUCCAGCAAACACCAUAAUAUUACCCGAGUUGAUUGAGCUUACCAAGCUGAAACAGGCAGCACUGCACCUGAUAAAACCUUCAAAAAAGGAAGUGGAAGAGCAGCACUGACGUUCGAGGGAGAAUCAAAAUAGAGCAUAAUAUUAAUCUCAGAAACAAAGAUCGUCAGUGGCCAUGUAUGCAAUUCAUGCCCACGCUCACCUUCACUUGCCACUCUCGCAAUGCUCAGUGCGAGGAGCUUUUGAUAGGAUUAGUAUAUCCAAUUCAAAGAGAAGAAAUAAGCGAGCAGUGCUUUAUUCAAGAAAAAUGAGCUAUUUUUAUUUGCCAAACUUGGCAAAGGGCAUGGUUUUAAAACCGGCGAAAGCGUUACCGGAGGAUGAGCGAGCAGAGGAGGAUGCUGAAAAAGAAGCGGAGCGAGUACGAGGCAUAAAGGUGAAAGCGUUAACGGAGGAUGAGCGAGCAGCGGAGGAGGCUGAAAAAGAAGCGGAGCGAAUACGAGGCAUAAAGGAGGACUGGGUUAUACGCGGAUGGGCGCCAUGGGAACAUGUUCUCUCUCCAGAGGCAGACUUUGCCAUCAAGAGCAUUGAAGACAUUCAAGAUGACGAUAUGCUGGGGCUGCGAACGGAGGAGGCUCUUGAGGCCUUCAAAAGAAUCACUCCCAAGAGCAAUCCGGAAAAUUACGACAAAAAAAACAACAUGGUUUUACCUCCAAAGAGAACCCUCCGAAUAGGAGAUGAAGACUACGAGCUUGUGCCGCACACUAACCAGUGGGGGCAGCCGGAGCCAAAUGAGACAAUGUGGAAUAGUCCCCUUGUUUUUACGCUUAUUCCGCCUCGGGAUUGGCCUCCCCCCGGUUGGCAUGUCGAUGCACAGGAGCUCGCUUUCAUUAGAGAAGCGCAUAAAUUGGAGUCUGUGCGAGUUGACCCCGCCGCCUUUGAGAACCCUUUGGAUGAUUCCAACGCUUCCUUUCCUCGCUUUGAGCUCUUCCUGAAGCAGUACAACCACUGGGUUGCUGCGAACAAGGACAGGCUUGAAAAAGAAGCAGCUGAGGUUGACGAAGAUUACCACCCUGGGAGGAGGAGGACUGGCAGUAAGUACAUAGAAGGCAUGUAUGAACUUCCAUUUGUAUAUCCAGGCCAGAUUUAUGGAGGGCAUGUGACAUGUGUGCACUUAUAUCAGGGAGCGUUUGUUUUCAUUGGUUGUGUGCAUGACGGGUGGGUUCCAAUUAAAGGCAAUGAUUGGUAUUGGAUACGACACCACAUCAAAGUUGGUAUGCAUGUUCAAGUUGAAGUAGUGGCUAAAAGGGAUCCAUUUCGGUAUCGAUUUCCUAUUGAAUUGCGAUUUGUCAAUCCAAAUAUUGAUCAUCUUAUUUUCAACAAGUUUGAAUUUCCUCCCAUUUUUGGACACAAUAAUACAACUGCUGAAGAACUGAGCCGAGAGACUGGGAGGCCAUAUACUCCAAGAAGAAGACCAUCUAUUAAACCUGAAGAUCACCCAUUAUCAGAAAUCCAUCCUUACUCUAAGAAGAUUGGGGAGAUACAUAUUUUAGAACAAGAAUUAUUGGAUAGGGAAAAGAAAAAUCUAAAUGAGGACGAGGAAGAUCUCAGUGAGGAAGGAGAGCAAGAUGAAUAUAUUGGUGAACUUGAGAUGUAUAACAAAUUAUAUGACAGUGAUGGCUACGAAAGUCAGACUACAGAUAAUGGGGAUCUUGUCACGGAUACUAUGCAUGCAGGGCAGAAGAUUGGACAGAUACAGAAGUUGGAAGAAGAAUUAUUUGAUGAUGAAGAUGAUGAUCCCAAUGAGGAAGUCGAUGAGGAAGAUGAAGAUUCAGAUGAGGAAGAUGAUGAUCCCAAUGAGAAAAAGGAAGAUCUUGAUGAGGAAGAUGAAGAUUCUGAUGAGCAAGAAAUAGAACUUGUUAAACUUGAGACGGAUAACAAAAUAUAUGACAGUGACAAUGAUGGGUACUGGAUUCAGAGUCAAUUUAAAGGCCAACAAAUUGCCAAGCUAGUUCUGACUGUAGAUGAAAAGGACCUUGACAUGGAUGCUGCACGUGCAGAGCGAGAGAUUAUCUAUAAACUCAAAAAGGAAUCAAAGGCUCAAGGGAAAAUGUUUGAGGUGCCCACAUUACGACGAGAAAAACAAAUGGAUGAAUUUGAUGCAAUGCACAAGCAGCGUUCAAUAGAAGAAAGGGAGGCACUUAUACGUGACAUAAGCUGCCGCCUAGAAUUGGGGCUUCCUAUAGAAGAACCAGGUAGAUAUGCCGAUGAUGAUUUAUGGAAUGAUGUUUACACAACCUGGAAUCCUAAAUUCCGUAAUGAUUAUUCGGGAGAUACUAGUGACUUUGAUAUGCACAAUCCAAGAAAGAGAACUUACGUUCGUUCCAGGGGUCCUGUUAAAAAGGCUGGUGACAACUUGCCCAAGUCUCCUUCGACUAAUGUGCAAAAUGUAGUUAAUAAUGGUACAUCAAAUACUACAGGGAUACCAAAGAAAGAGAACUCCAGAAAUGUAGAUGCAGGGUAACUCAGAUGAUAGCAAGAGAGGCAGAGGAGCAGCAGAAUCAGAUACAGAGGAUAAAUGAUCAGUCAACUUCAUGAUUACCAAGGAAAUGACCAUAUUAAGAUAAUAUAUGGAAGCAAAUUUGGGUUGGCUAUCAGCUGUUGACAGAUUAAUGGCUUGCUACAUCUGGCAUUUUUUCGUACACUACAUGUAUAGAGGAGGAGGAACAAGGUUGAAUCAAUCUUCCCAGCUUUUGCAAAGAAGAAAUUCUUUGUAGCCAAUAUAUCAAAAGAUUGCAUUCAUCAGAAACUUAAUAAUCUCUGUUGUUCUUGAAAAAAUGUACGUACUAGUUUACUAAUAGGAGGGGAUUUCAAAGAGGAGCAAUGCUAUCAAUUAUUUGUUAUGAAACUCAUGAUUUUAUAGCAACAUGAAGAGCUACAUUUGUAGUAUUUACCAUAUUUAAGUAAACAAUCAUAGUUUUGUAGUUUUCAGAAAUAAAAAUGCCUUUAGUGACUUGCAAUCAAAUGUAAUUGGUCGACACUGAAGGCCAUGGAAAACGAGAUUGCAAUUCCUUGAAACUAGUAAGUUUGUCUGUUUUCA